ACUGCGCAUGAGCAGGAAUAGUCACGGACUGUACAGAUGGUGUGGUAAAGGACCAAGAAAGUGGUUGUCGGAGGAAGUUGUGACUGAUUUUGGAAACACCAGGCAGACCUCGCCAGUAUAGGAAUUCAGGACUUAACAUCAGAGCAGGGGGUGAAGGGGAGAGGGUUCACUCAGAGCGGCAGUGAGACAGGGCUGGUGGUCUGCGGGCGGAAUGACCCGGGAGAGUGUGGGCUUUGUAAAGACGCGAAUGUACAGAGGAUUGGUGUCAUUCGAGGAUGUGGCUGUAGACUUCACCCAGGAGGAGUGGAAUCAUCUGGACCAUACUCAGAGGACCCUGUACAGAGGUGUAGUGCUAGAGAACUGUAGCUACUUGGUCUCUGGGUGAGGCUGGCUUCCCUGAGUAAUUUACAGUGUACCUAACAGAAUAACUUGCCAUCUCUGAAGUAUUUCAAUACUUUGGCCUCAAGUUCCAGGGACUAAAGAUUCUUAAUUCUUCUUAGACUAACAAGGUGUUUGCAUUUCCAUCUCCCAUGUGAAAUUUAUGCUUAUUAAAGUGUACCUUCCUAAUUACUUUGAGGCCCUGAAGGCCACACACAUGUCCCCAGGUCUUGUAUCCUUUCCCAUUACAGGGUAUCCUGUUCCAAACCAGAUGCGAUUGCCUCUUUGGAGAAGAGAAGACUUUGGAUCAUAGAGAGAGAAAUCUCAAGUUCAAGCU
rnacentral:lncRNA from 1 species